rnacentral:misc_RNA from 1 species
AGCAGCCGCGGUAAUUCCAGCUCCAAUAGCGUAUAUUAAAGUUGUUGCAGUUAAAAGCUCGUAGUUGAAUUUCGGGGUUAGUAGGUUGGUCAUGCCACUGGUAUGUACUGAUCUUACUGAUUCCUCCUUCCUGAUGAACCGUAAUGCCAUUAAUUUGGUGUUGCGGGGANACUGGACUGUUACUUUGAAAAAUUGAGUGUUUAAAGCAGGCUAACGCUUGAAUACAUUAGCAUGGAAUAAUGAAAUAGGACG